UCUCAUGAAACUCUUGGCCCCUCAAAGCAUCCAAGGAGAACUGGUUUUAAACUCAUCAUCAUCACCUAGCUGUUCACGAUACAGCAUUCCAAAAUAAUCAAAUGUCCCUGAAAACGACAAAACAUCGAUGAAUCAAUAUAUUAUAUCAAAGAUAUAACAGAAAAUGGAAUUUGAAAAAAUGGUGAACAUUAUUGCAGAGACCUACUUUCAUCGCCCUUCUUAAAGUUGCUCACGCGCAACAUCCUUGUUAAUAAGUAGAUAGUCCUGUAAUAAUAGCCUAC